UACAGAGGUCUCAAGCGUUGUUCGGAUUCAUUGGGCGUAAAGGGUGCGUAGGCGGCGCGGUAAGUCGGGUGUGAAAUCUUGGAGCUUAACUCCGAAACUGCAUUCGAUACUGCCGUGCUUGAGGACUGGAGAGGAGACUGGAAUUUACGGUGUAGCGGUGAAAUGCGUAGAUAUUGGGAGGAACACCAGUGGCGAAGGCGGCUCACUGGACCGGAACUGACGCUGGAGGCGCGAAAGCGUGGGGAGCAAACAGG
rnacentral:rRNA from 1 species